AUUAGAUACCCUGGUAGUCCACGCCGUAAACGGUGGGUACUAGGUGUGGGUUUCCUUCCUUGGGAUCCGUGCCGUAGCUAACGCAUUAAGUACCCCGCCUGGGGAGUACGGCCGCAAGGCUAAAACUCAAAGAAAUUGACGGGGGCCCGCACAAGCGGCGGAGCAUGUGGAUUAAUUCGAUGCAACGCGAAGAACCUUACCUGGGUUUGACAUGCACAGGACGCCGGUAGAGAUAUCGGUUCCCUUGUGGCCUGUGUGCAGGUGGUGCAUGGCUGUCGUCAGCUCGUGUCGUGAGAUGUUGGGUUAAGUCCCGCAACGAGCGCAACCCUUGUCUCAUGUUGCCAGCACGUUAUGGUGGGGACUCGUGAGAGACUGCCGGGGUCAACUCGGAGGAAGGUGGGGAUGACGUCAAGUCAUCAUGCCCCUUAUGUCCAGGGCUUCACACAUGCUACAAUGGCCGGUACAAAGGGCUGCGAUGCCGUGAGGUGGAGCGAAUCCUUUCAAAGCCGGUCUCAGUUCGGAUCGGGGUCUGCAACUCGACCCCGUGAAGUCGGAGUCGCUAGUAAUCGCAGAUCAGCAACG
rnacentral:rRNA from 1 species